CCCACUUAGGGUUUACACUUUACUGCUCUCAAUUCUCAGACUAAAUUUAAUAAAAACGUUGCUCAAAUUCAAAAUUCUACAGACUAAAUUGUGCUGUUGUUGACAAGAUCGAAAUUCGAAGGUCAAAAAAUUGUGCUGAAGAUUGAAGUUCAAAAACUUCAUUGAAGAGUGAAGAUCGAAGGUCAAAAAUUUCAGGUGGAGAACGUUAGUAUUUCACAAAAAAAAAAAAAUCAGUGCAGCAUUGAAGGGUAAAAGCAAAGAUAAAAUGUCCCUUGAGGUUGAA